UGGCUCAGCGGUUAAGAGCACUGGCUGCUCUUCCAGAGGUCCCGAGUUCAAUUCUCGG
rnacentral:tRNA from 1 species